GACGAACGCUGGCGGCGUGCCUAAUACAUGCAAGUCGAACGAGUGGCGGCCGGGUGAGUAACAAGUGGGAACCUCCCCAGCAGAGGGGGAUAACACUUGGAAACAGGUGCCAAUACCGCAUACUGAUGGAUGGACCCGCGGGGCAUUAGAUAGUUGGGGAGGUAACGGCUCACCAAGGCCACGAUGCAUAGCCGGCCUGAGAGGGUGACCAGCCACACUGGAACUGAGACACGGUCCAGACUCCUACGGUAGGCAGCAGUGGGGAAUAUUGCACAAUGGGCGCAAGCCUGAUGCAGCCAUGCCGCGUGUAUGAAGAAGGCCUUCGGGUUGUAAAGUACUUUCAGCGGGGAGGCGUUACCCGCAGAAGAAGCACCGGCUAACUCCGUGCCAGCAGCCGCGGUAAUAC
rnacentral:rRNA from 1 species